AGUGAACGCUGGCGGUAGGCCUAACACUUGCAAGUCGAACGGCAGCACAGUAAGAGCUUGCUCUUACGGGUGGCGAGUGGCGGACGGGUGAGGAAUACAUCGGAAUCUACUUUUUCGUGGGGGAUAACGUAGGGAAACUUACGCUAAUACCGCAUACGACCUACGGGUGAAAGCAGGGGAUCUUCGGACCUUGCGCGAUUGAAUGAGCCGAUGUCGGAUUAGCUAGUUGGCGGGGUAAAGGCCCACCAAGGCGACGAUCCGUAGCUGGUCUGAGAGGAUGAUCAGCCACACUGGAACUGAGACACGGUCCAGACUCCUACGGGAGGCAGCAGUGGGGAAUAUUGGACAAUAGGCGCAAGCCUGAUCCAGCCAUACCGCGUGGGUGAAGAAGGCCUUCGGGUUGUAAAGCCCUUUUGUUGGGAAAGAAAAGCAGCAGGUUAAUACCCCGCUGUUCUGACGGUACCCAAAGAAUAAGCACCGGCUAACUUCGUG
rnacentral:rRNA from 1 species